rnacentral:misc_RNA from 1 species
ACCAGUGUAAAAAAAAUGGCAGCCCCCAUGCGUCGUCAUCUGGAGACAGUUAAGUGAUUAUGACGGUGUAAUUAUCUUCAGUAUCCACAUUACAAUCACAAACUUAAGGGAGGCAGUAGAUUUCAGUAGAGGCUGUUGAUAACUGUUGUAAAACGUGAAUUUGAAGAGCGAAUUUCCGUUUAUUAAUUGAUAAUUGACAUGGCAAGUAAGCAGAAACAACGGACGAAGGGAAAUUUACGGCCAUCCAGCAGCGGCCGCGCUGCAGAGCUUCUGGCCAGAGAAGGUGGGACCAGUCCGGGGGCAUCUGGCUUCAUUGGCUUCGGCGCAAUGUCCGGGGACCUGGGCUACGUGCCUGCUGCCCAGUCGCUGAGUCUGGAGUCAGACCAGGACUCCUCGCUGGAGGCCGACUUCCGCAUGGCGCUGAGGAAGCUGACAAAGAGAGAUGUGGUUACCAAAUUAAAGGCCAUUCAGGAGUUUGGCGCCCUCUGCACCGAGAAGAAUGUGGAGGCAGUGAAAGGCACCCUUCCCCACUGGCCGAGGAUCUACAGUCGACUGGCAACCGACCACGACAAGCGCGUCAGGGAGGCCAUGCAGCAGGCCUUCGAGCAGCUGGUCCUGCGUGUCCGUCGCAGCUUGGCCCCCCAGCUUCGCCCCCUGAUGGGGACCUGGCUGCUGUCGCAGUGUGACACCUAUGCUCCGGCCGCGCUCUCGGCGAGGGCAGCCUUCCAGAGCACCUUCCCCGCGGCCAAGCAAGGGGAGGCGGUGGCCUUCUGCAAGAUGGAAGUGCUCAGGUAUCUUGAAGACAACCUCUUCAAAGAGACGGCAGCCUCACUGAGUGACCCCAGGUCCUACACCCCUGAGGAACAAGAGGAGAAAUAUCUUCGCAUUCUGACCUCCUCGCUGCUGGCCCUUGGUGAGUUUGUGACAGUGCUGCCGGAGAAGGAGAUUUCCUCCGUUCAGGACAUCCUCGCAUCCAUCUUGGCCGAGGGCAAGCUCUGGAAACUUGCCAAGAGCAAAUCACCACAGCUGCGGAGUGCCAUGUACUCUCUCCAGGGCAGCCUGAUCAAGAGUGUGCCCUCUAUUGCUGAGGCCCAGCUAGCCUGUAUAUCCACCACCCUGCUAGGGGGCCUUGAUGAAUCGGACCCCUUAGCUGUGCAAGCACUGUGGGAAUCAGUGCUCUUGCUUAUGUCUACGUUCCCUAAUUGCUGGGAGCAUGUGAACGUUCGCAAGGCCAUCCUCCCAAAGCUCUGGGCCAUGCUGAGAGCAGGAGGCAAUGGUAGCGCCACGGUCAUAUACCCUCAUCUGCUACCCUUGCUCAGUCACAUUCCGCCCGAUGUCAUGGGGUCAGGGAUAGGGUUCUAUCUGGAGUUCUUCGGCAAUAUCAAAGAAGGACUGACUUGCAGCUCAGCCAGGCAGAGCACCAGUGAAUAUGGAGCCAUCAUUAAGUCCUAUAUGGAAUGUCUGCGGUACUCAAUCUCUCAAACAGUUACCAGUGAUGGAGCAGAGGAUAUUCAGAGUCUUCAAGCCUACCUCAUUCAGGAAGAGUUGAUGCCUGUCCUCAGACAGUCAAUAACUGACGAUGACAGUCAGCUAGCGACCACCUCCCUCUAUCUCCAUACCUCGAAGCUAUUAUCCCACCUGUGCAAGCAGCUUGAGAAGGCUCCUGCCAGGGACGCUCUCCGAAUGUUCUGGACGAGUCUCAGCAGCAUAUGCUCAGAGCAGGUCGGCCCUGCAGAAAUUAGCCAAAAUGCCAGCAGAUCCCUGGAAAAGAUGGCAGUGCUUCUCACGCAACUCCAGUGUCCGGAUAAGUCGCUCACGGCCAAAAUGAUGAAGAAACGGAGCGUGUCGUUCUCUGAGGAUGGGCCCCCUGCUCCAGUCGAGACUGAGGUCAAAUCGUCAUUGCAGGCCGUCUUUCAGAGAUAUCCGGAGCUAAUCCGCCUCGUUCGCAAACUCGUGAGGAACAGCUGUGGGCUUGCUCGCACUGGUUCGCUGCCCCACCUGUCGCUUCUUGUCAAAUUGCUUGAUUCCUUUCAGCUGGCUGAGGUUUUCGAGGAGCUAUUAGGAGGAAACAGUGAAGAGGAAUAUGGUGAACCAAGAAGUGAAGAAGGGGUGCAGGAAUCAAAAACUUCAGAUGGGGGUUACUCAGAGACAGGCCAUGAAGACAGUGACUCAAAACUCCCAUGCUCCAAAGUCCAGUCUUCAGAUAUCGCCGACGAUGCUAAGGACUCCUCGAUUGUCAUUCAGAGGUGCUUCGAGGAGGUUCUCUUGCCGUGGGUGCAGUCAGAAGAAGAGAGGCAACAUGGGGAAGAGGAGGCACAGAGGCCUGCGAAGGAGGUCCUGCCUUAUGUGGUGAAUCUUGUGGCUGCUGGUUUCUGCUACUGUGACGACGAGCAAAAGAAAGCCAUCCUUGAUGAGUUCUGCCAACAGACCAGUAGACCACAGACGUUGUACCUCCUGAUAAAGAAGAUCUUAGACUCCUCUCACAGCGCCUGCGUCAGGGCAUGGCUCAAGUCGGCCGUGUUUGGAGAGAAGCUAUUGAAGCUCACUGACAUGCUGUGCUCCCAGGCACUUGAUGGGGAGGCAAACGGCUCAGCAUCGCAGAGCUGGGACUUGAUCAACUUGGGGCUGUCCAUGGAGGCCGAAGAAGAGCCCAGAGUUCACUCUGGCUAUGCCGACCAAAUCCUGUGCAAGUUCACUGACACUCUGCUGAGGUCAAAGGUCAGACUGGAAGGCAACGAGCAGGGAGUUGAUAACUGCAUCAGCUUCAUCUGCGAUGUGGCCGCCAACUUCUUCAGUGCAGUCAAGGGAUGUCUUUUGAUUUCCUCUGCUGAAGACCUGCUCCUGGCCCUGUUCCAACUGAGCUGUAAAGAGGCGACAAACUUUCCAGAACCUGUUCAGAAGAAAAUCUUAUCAGCGUGGACUAAUGGGGCAGAGUCGCUCAUCCGGCAAACAGGGGGGUUCCUGAAGGAGGAGGGGUUCCUCUGCAGGGCGGCCGGCUGGAUUAAAUUGUGCCUCAAGCAAGGCCCGCACAGCCUACUCAGCAUUGAGUUACUAGCCAAGCCAGCGAUGACCUUGAGUGGCCUUGUAUCGUCCAGCCUACCACUGAGUGAGGACCAUGAUGCUCUGAGUACAGCAGAGAGUUUUGCCGCACUGUUGAUGCCAUCGGAGACUGAGUGGGACAAGAACCUGGCUAUGUCCAAUCAGUGGAUGGUGUCAUCCUUUCUAGAUGAAACCUUGACCUUUACUGAACUUCCAGAGAUGACCCCCACUGACCCUGUCACCAUGCCAACAGGGCUUGUCCACUCUGUGUAUGUUGCUACGCUCCUCAGGCCGUCCGAAAUAUCAACCAGUCCUGAGGUCGACAGCGAGUCCGUGCUGGAAGCAGAAGAGCUUGCUGAGCAAGACAAGGAUGAGUUAGACAGAUGCGUCACUUCGGCCCAGUUACCAUGGAGAUUUGAUGUUAUAGCGCAGGCACUGAAGGGACUGUUGUAUGCUCUGCAGUGGUGUAAAGGAACCAUGGGCCUUAAUGCAUUGACCAAUCAGAUUCCUCAGCAGAAUUUUGGCGUUGAAAUGCCAUCGUAUUGUGUUGAGGUUGCCACGGUCAUCAACACAACACUCGAAGGUGUCUGGAAGGGCCUGAGCAACGACGAUUGGAAGAGGCUGGUGGGGGACAUUCUUGACAUGUCCAUGAUAGCCGGUAACCUGUGGUCAUCAUCCUUGUCCUAUCUGCUGAGCUGCUACUCAAGGUACCAGGGAAAGCACAGGGAACUCAGCCUACUACAACUUGCUCAGGGCACAGACAGAUUUGCUGUCCUGUCUUUAUUGGCAAUCCACACCUUGGAAGCUAUCCUACCUCACCUGAGCCAGGCACAGAGGCUGGAGUUGUUAGAGAUCAACACAGCCAAGCUUUUAUCCUCAGAGAAAGAGAUGGUGGCUCAUGUUGAUGGUGGCCUGGGGAGCAUGUCGGUAGUCGCAGCCAUCGUCCGGCAGCCAGACGGCUUUGAUGUUGCCAGCCAUGCUGAGGUUGUGGCUAGCUGCAUCCAGCAACUCAUGAAAUGGAGGGAGGACUAUCUGGAAUUGUUUCUCUUUGGAAAAGACCUUCACGAAGUAUCAAUUUUAAACGACGUGUUCAUCAAUGUCAAGAUGAUGCAAUUAAUACGGCUAGUCAUAGAAAAGUUGCCCACAGCACUGAGUGAGCCAUCCUGGGACUUCAUGCUUUGCUCCGUUGUAGCUUGGAUCCAGACCUGCAGUCAGAGUAGCGACCAUGCCCUGUCCUCCACCCUCACCGCUGCAUUCUGCUGUACGGCCUUUGACCUCUUGACCUCAGCCGCAACCCUGCUGGGCAGUCCCGGUGGUCAUUCGUCCCUCCCUGCCAACCUAUGCACAGAGUGGGUGGAGUUUUACAGCGACGCGGCCUUCACGCUGGUGCUGCCUGCGUUUGUCAGGAUAGUCGAGGCUACUGAUUCUGACCAUCUGUCAGUCCUGAGACAUCACCUGCUCCAGUCAGCAUCGGACGCAGUCCGCCACCACCCAUCAGAACAACUCAGGAAACACACGUUUCCACCAAAGUCCUCGCUGUCUGUGGGAGCAGCAAAGCUAACCGAUAAUUUCAACACAUCCCAGGAUGCAGUUCAUAUCCUUUUGGACCGUUUGUGCCCUAUGCUUCUGAAGACAGAUCGAUCAGUCAAACUGGCAGCAUUCCAGCUCCUAGAAAAGGUUAUGGAUGGAGUUGCCAAAGCAGAUGAGGAACGUGUAAAAGAGGAGGCAAACAGUGACAAGGAUCAGAGGGAGGAGGAAUCAGCAAUAACACCUCCAGAACCUUUGAAGGAAAUCUUAGACUCCACGUCAGCCUACAUGGAAGCCAUCUUGACUGAUAUCCCAGUCGGAGAAUGCCUUACGAUGGACCCUACCAGCACAGGCUACCACCAGAGUCUGUCCAGCGUGCUGACUUACCUGUUAGUGUGGAGACUAUACCUGAGGAUGUUCAAAGCUGCUUCAGCAGAGGUCCGAGCCAAGUAUGCCAAUUACCUUCGUCAGACAGACGGUGUGGCCAGCCUGAUGGCAGACAUUUUCAGACUGAUGCCUGACCCCCCUUUGAUCAGUGGUCCUACCCCCAAGGGACCUGCACCCAGGAAUAUGUUCAACAUAGCUCCGCCAAUGAAAGCCAAAGGUAUCUCCCCAAGCCAGGAAGAGAUUCAGCAUCAGGCUUGCACCCUGUAUUACAGUAUCCUGGAGGACCUACCAGCCAUGGUGCGACAGUGGUGGACAAAUCAGGAUAAGAAGGUGGCUUCCAUUGUUGACAGGUUCACAACCAAAUAUGCCAGCCCCCUCCUCGCAGCCCAAGAGGUCGUAGGUGUACAGACUGCGCCGCAGACCUUUGAGAACAUGACGGUCAAGGCGCGCUCUGCCACGCGCGAGGUGGUGGCCACCUACACCAUGCAGGAUCUGACCAUGGACCUGACCGUUCGCAUUCCAGCCAACCACCCGCUAGGCAUCAUCGCCGUGGACAGCGAGAAAAAAGUUGGGGUGGGGACCACGCAAUGGCGAAACUGGACAUUACAACUGACCACAUUCCUACGCAACCAAAAUGGCAGCAUCAUGGACGGCCUGACGCUGUGGAAACGCAAUGUUGACAAGCGCUUUGAGGGGGUGGACGACUGCAUGAUCUGCUUCUCGGUCAUCCAUGGCUCCAACUGUUCCCUGCCCAAGCUGCAGUGCAAGACCUGCAAGAAACGGUACCACUCAGCCUGCCUGUACAAGUGGUUCAGCACCAGUAACCAGUCUACCUGUCCUAUGUGCCGAAGCCCCUUCUAAUUCCCUCAGUGGGGAUUGGGCCCGGCCUCUCACUCCUGCAGCACCACCUCCACUCCUCCGCAGACAGGAACCUUGUCACUGGCCGUGCUACUCAGCACAGUACUGUACCUUGCUGUGUGCAGCUAGGACACAGAAGAAAUACUCAUUCCAAGCAGAUUUCAUCUUUAUGUUCAUGAGAACAGAAGCAGUGCAUCGUUUCCUUUCGUAAUACAACAAAGAAAAGAAGAUUAAGUGCUUAGAAUACUUACCCCUCAUGAUCAAGAUAAGG